GCAGUGGGGAAUAUUGCACAAUGGGCGCAAGCCUGAUGCAGCCAUGCCGCGUGUGUGAAGAAGGCCUUCGGGUUGUAAAGCACUUUCAGCGGGGAGGAAGGCGGUGAGGUUAAUAACCUCAUCGAUUGACGUUACCCGCAGAAGAAGCACCGGCUAACUCCGUGCCAGCAGCCGCGGUAAUACGGAGGGUGCAAGCGUUAAUCGGAAUUACUGGGCGUAAAGCGC
rnacentral:rRNA from 1 species